GAGAUAAAAAUGACUACUGAUUGGCUCAAG
rnacentral:piRNA from 1 species